GCCACCCUACGGGAGGCAGCAGUCGAGAAUCAUUCACAAUGGGGGAAACCCUGAUGGUGCGACGCCGCGUGGGGGAAUGAAGGUCUUCGGAUUGUAAACCCCUGUCAUGUGGGAGCAAAUUAAAAAGAUAGUACCACAAGAGGAAGAGACGGCUAACUCUGUGCUAGCAGCCGCGGUAAUACAGAGGUCUCAAUCGUUGUUCGGAAUCACUGGGCGUAAAGCGUGCGUAGUCUGUUUCGUAAGUCGUGUGUGAAA
rnacentral:rRNA from 1 species